GAUCAUGGCUCAGGAUAAACGCUGGCGGCGUGCUUAACACAUUCAAGUCGAACGGAGUAUGUUUGGAAGCUUGCUUUUGGACAUGCUUAGUGGCGGACGGGUGAGUAAUGCAUGAGCAACCUGCCUUCAAGAGGGGAUAACACAUGGAAACGUGUGCUAAUACCGCAUAGACGUACGGACGGCAUCGUCUGUACGGGAAAGGAGUAAUCCGCUUAGAAGAUGGCUCAUGUACCGG
rnacentral:rRNA from 1 species